UACGUAGGGGGCGAGCGUUGUCCGGAAUUAUUGGGCGUAAAGCGCGCGCAGGCGGUCUCUUAAGUCUGAUGUGAAAGCCCACGGCUCAACCGUGGAGGGUCAUUGGAAACUGGGGGACUUGAGGGCAGGAGAGGAGAGCGGAAUUCCACGUGUAGCGGUGAAAUGCGUAGAUAUAGGAAGGAACAUCAGUGGCGAAGGCGACUACCUGGACUGAUACUGACACUGAGGUGCGAGAGCGUGGGGAGCAAACAGG
rnacentral:rRNA from 1 species